AAACCAGCACCUCAAGUGGUCAGGAUGAUUAUUGGGCCUAAAGCAUCCGUAGCCUGCUCUGUAAGUUUUCGGUUAAAUCUGUACGCUCAACGUACAGGCUGCCGGGCAUACUGCAGAGCUAGGGAGUGGGAGAGGUAGACGGUACUCGGGAGGAAGUGGUAAAAUGCUAUGAUCUCUCGAUGACCACCUGUGGCGAAGGCGGUCUACCAGAACACGUCCGACGGUGAGGGAUGAAAGCUGGGGGAGCAAACCGGAUUAGAAACCCCGGUAGUCC
rnacentral:rRNA from 1 species